rnacentral:rRNA from 1 species
GAGCGGCCCGUGGUCGUUUCGGCCGUGUGUGCCGUGUCGUGUUUGUCAUCCUUCCAGAAGCUGCGUCUACCAUUUACUUGGCCGGACGUACGUGAUCUGGAUCGAUUACUUUGAAAAAAUUAGAGUGUUUAAAGCAGGCUUAUGCUGUGAAUACAUUAGCAUGGAAUAAUAAUUUAGGACUUCGGUUCUAUUUUGUUGGUUUCUAGGACUGAAGUAAUGAUUGAUAGGGACAGUUGGGGGUGCUAGUAUUCCGCGGCCAGAGGUGAAAUUCUUGGAUUCGCGGAAGACUAACUACUGCGAAAGCAUU